UACCUUGAUUGGUCAGCUCUAUCUCGG
rnacentral:piRNA from 1 species